rnacentral:rRNA from 1 species
UGCGGCGUAACUCCGGUUGAUCCUGCCGGACCCGACUGCUAUCGGGGUGGGGCUAAGCCAUGCAAGUCUCGGGGCCGAGGCAACGGUCGGUCCCGGCGCACGGCUGAGUAACACGUGGCUAACCUACCCUCGGGAGGGGGAUAACCCCGGGAAACUGGGGCUAAUACCCCAUAGGCGCAGACACCUGGAAUGGGUCUGCGCCGAAAAGGUUGCGGCGCCAUGCUCGCCGCAAUCGCCCGAGGAUGGGGCUGCGCCCUAUCAGGUAGUUGGCGGGGUAAAGGCCCGCCAAGCCGAUAACGGGUAGGGGCCGUGAGAGCGGGAGCCCCCAGAUGGGCACUGAGACAAGGGCCCAGGCUCUACGGAGCGCAGCAGGCGCGAAACCUCCGCAAUGCGGGAAACCGUGACGGGGUCACCCCGAGUGCCACCCGCUGAGGGUGGCUUUUCCCCGGUGUAAGAAGCCGGGGGAAUAAGCGGGGGGCAAG